AUGACAAGCACUUUGAAAAGAGGGUGAAAAGCACCUGAAACCGUCACGGGGGAAGCGGAUUGCGUGAGUGUUGGGUGCACGUGCUCAGCAUCUCUCUUUUUGGGGGGUGUGUAUUCACGUGCGCCUGCGCCGGCGUGGCUGCGUGCUGGUGGAUUUUGCACCGGCGCGUGGUGAGGGCUCCUGCUUGUCAGUGAGGACGCCGGCGAAAUGACGCAAUACGACCCGUCUUGAAACACGGACCAAGGAGUCUAGCGCGGCUGCGAGUCGAAGGGUGGCAAACCCAAGGGCGCAGUGAAAGCGAAUUUUGUGCAGAACGAAAACAGUUUGGGGCGGCAUAGCGACGUUGUCAACAUGUCCGACCCGGAGCAUGCGCGCUGGGACCCGAAAGAUGGUGAACUAUGCCGGAGUAGGGCAAAGCCAGAGGAAACUCUGGUGGAGGCUCGUAGCGAUGCUGACGUGCAAAUCGCUCGUCAAACUUGGGUAUAGGGGCGAAAGACUAAUCGAACCAUCUAGUAGCUGGUUCCCUCCGAAGUUUCUCUCAGGAUAGCGGGCCGACGAAGUGUUGUUUUGUGC
rnacentral:rRNA from 1 species